rnacentral:rRNA from 15 species
UCCGACCUGCACGAAUGGUGUAACGAUCUGGACACUGUCUCAGCCAUGAGCUCGGUGAAAUUGUAGUAUCGGUGAAGAUGCCGAUUACCCGCUGUGGGACGAAAAGACCCCGUGCACCUUUACUAUAGCUUAGUAUUGGUUUUGGACAAGUAAUGUGUAGGAUAGGUGGGAGACUUUGAAGCUGCGUCGCCAGGCGUGGUGGAGUCAUUGUUGAAAUACCACCCUUUGCUUGUCUAGAGUCUAACCCUUCACAAAAGGGGACAGUGCUUGGUGGGUAGUUUGACUGGGGUGGUCGCCUCCAAAAGAGUAACGGAGGCUUCUAAAGGUUCCCUCAAUACGGUUGGCAAUCGUGUGUAGAGUGCAAUGGCAUAAGGGAGCUUGACUGAGAGACCUACAAGUCGAUCAGGUACGAAAGUAGAGCAUAGUGAUCCGGUGGUUCCGCAUGGAAGGGCCAUCGCUCAAAGGAUAAAAGGUACGCCGGGGAUAA